GGUGCAGGAGGGAGGUGGGAACUCCAGGAGUCCAUCCUCAAGUACUGCUGGCCUGCGGAGGAGUGAGAGGGGAGGGAGACCCCAGGCCUGCCCAUAGCACGUCUGCCACACUGAGGUGGCCAGCUGAGCCGCUCGGUGUUGGGGCAAACAGCUUUUCAGCCCUCAGCACCCCCACCAGCGUCUUACUGGGUGAAGUGCAUUGCAGGCCCUGACUCCAUGGUCUGCCCUGGUCUCACAGGGAUGCGCCCUCUGUGCCCUGCCAGUCGGCUCAGGUGUAGGGAGGGGUGUGGGGUGUUCCGCACAGUUGUUACGAGAGGGUGGAAUUGUCUACCUAGAAGGGAUGAGAGUGACCCACAUUCUCUUUAUAUAGGAGAAGAGUGAGAAGUUAGUUGAAAACUUCAACAGAAAGAUGUGUUUGAUUAGAGCUGCGAUGUUUCUAUGUCAUUUUUCUUCAUAUUGGUCAAAGCCCCUGAAGUGCUGUGCCUGAAGAUACCAUUGUGGACCCUGGAGAGGCACCCUGCUACUUAUGCGGUAAAACCUCUACCACCCCAAACCUGGUCAGUUUGAGGGGAGCCGCUGCCACAGUAUCCACAGAGAAGGCCGGAGUUCCAGCCGUGUGGGGCAGCAGAGGGGAGUCUGACAGGGUCACCUCCUCCACAGAGAGAACUGGCAGCUGACUGCACUGCCAGGAGCCAAGGCCUGGGUGUGUGGAGCCCGGAAGACCAGGGAUACCUGAGGCAGGAGGUGCAGCGUGUGGAGUGAGGAACCCGAGAGGGGCUGGGGCCCGUGCUCAGCAUCAGCAGAGCAGGCAGGCAGAGUGGAGAGGGAGAGACGGAGCCCCAGAAGGGGAGCAGGAGGAGGCGGAAGUAGUGGCAGCAGCCCAGGCCAGGCGUGUGUCCUGCAAGUGCUAAGACCAGCCACCCCUCCCCAUGGCCUCCAAGCCGGCUGCCGGGAAGAGCAGAGGGGAGAAGCGGAAGAGGGUGGUGCUGACCCUGAAGGAGAAGAUUGACAUCUGCACGCGCCUGGAGAAGGGCGAGAGCCGGAAGGCACUGAUGCAGGAGUACAACGUGGGCAUGUCCACCCUCUAUGACAUCAGGGCGCACAAGGCGCAGCUGCUCCGGUUCUUCGCCAGCUCGGACUCCAACAAGGCACUGGAGCAGCGGCGCACGCUGCACACACCCAAGCUGGAGCACUUGGACCGCGUCCUGUAUGAGUGGUUCCUGGGGAAGCGCUCCGAGGGCGUCCCUGUGUCAGGCCCCAUGCUCAUCGAGAAGGCCAAGGACUUCUACGAGCAGAUGCAGCUCACUGAGCCCUGUGUGUUCUCCGGAGGGUGGCUCUGGCGCUUUAAGGCCAGACAUGGCAUUAAAAAGCUAGAUGCGUCCAGUGAAAAGCAGGCAGCUGACCACCAGGCCGCGGAGCAGUUCUGUGCAUUUUUCAGGAGCUUGGCUGCCGAGCACGGGCUGUCUGCCGAGCAGGUUUACAACGCCGACGAGACUGGCCUUUUCUGGCGGUGCCUGCCAAAUCCCACUCCGGAAGGCGGGGCUGUGCCUGGCCUCAAGCAGGGCAAGGACCGGCUGACCGUGCUGAUGUGUGCCAACGCCACGGGCUCCCACAGGCUCAAGCCCUUGGCCAUCGGGAAGUGCAGCGGUCCCAGGGCUUUCAAAGGCAUCCAGCACCUGCCCGUCGCCUAUAAGGCCCAGGGGAACGCCUGGGUGGACAAGGAGAUUUUUUCUGAUUGGUUCCAUCAUAUCUUUGUGCCCUCGGUGAGAGAGCACCUCAGAACCAUAGGUUUGCCUGAAGAUAGCAAAGCCGUUCUCUUGCUGGACAGCUCCCGGGCUCACCCGCAGGAGGCCGAGCUGGUGUCCAGUAACAUUUUCACCAUCUUCCUGCCUGCCAGCGUGGCCUCAUUGGUGCAGCCCAUGGAGCAGGGCAUUCGGAGAGAUUUCAUGAGGAACUUCAUCAACCCUCCGGCCCCCCUGCAGGGCCCCCACGCCCGCUACAACGUGAAUGAUGCCAUAUUCAGUGUGGCCUGUGCCUGGAAUGCGGUGCCUAGCCACGUCUUCAGGCGGGCCUGGAGGAAGCUGUGGCCAUCGGUUGUGUUUGCCGAAGGCUCCUCCUCUGAGGAGGAGGUGGAGGCAGAGCGCUUCCAAGCGAAGCCCCACAACAAGUCCUUUGCGCACAUCCUGGAGCUUGUGAAGGAAGGCUCCUCCUGCCCGGGCCAGCUUCGCCAGCGCCAGGCCGCCAGCUGGGGUGUAGCGGGAAGGGAGGCAGAAGGGGGACGGCCCCCUGCUGCCACGUUGCCAGCAGAGGUUGUGUGGAGUUCAGAAAAGACUCCGAAAGCUGACCAGGACGGCGGAGGAGAUCCUGGUGAGGGCGAGGAGGCGGCCUGGGAGCAGGCGGCCGUGGCCUUUGACGCAGUCCUGCGCUUUGCGGAGCAGCAGCCAUGCUUCAGUGCGCAGGAAGUGGGGCAGCUGCGGGCGCUGCGUGCCGUGUUCCGGAGCCAGCAGCAGGAUGGUGGAGAGCAGUCUUCAGCCUGGGAUCCAUCCCUAGGUAAGUAACUGAAUUGGGGUUUGUCUUGGCUAAAGUUAAAAUUAACAGCCAGCUGGUCUUAAUUUCUCCUUACUGUUAGAGCACUCAGUAAUGAUAUAAGUUGUGCAAUCAUUUGUUUUGCUUUGCUCUUUGUUGUUGUUUGUUUCUGUUUUUGUUGUUUCAGUCUUUUUCCCCUUGGGUUUGACCAACUGUAUCUGACUUGAUCAAAUCUGAAGGAAAGUUUCAAAUUACGGGGAACAAGGCCUCUGAAGUGGCUAAAUUCCCACCAAAAAAAAAAAAAAUGAUUGAUUUUUGAUUUUCACUGCUUAAGGGGCCUUAUUUACAUAACAAGACCACCUUUUUGCUAGCCAGGCCAAACUGAAAGCAAUGGCUGUUACCCCACACUGCAGUUCAAUGCCUAAGGUUCUGCCUUCCUUUUUUUUUUUUUUUUCCAGCAUGACAGCUGGGUUUGGUUCCUAAAUCAAGUCCUUUCUGGUUUGAUACUUGGUACUUCUGAAAUAGCAGCAAUUUGUCCUAGCUGAAAUAUGGUAAUGAGAUUUUAAAACUUUUUCUUUUAAAGGAGCUCAAUGGUUAAAAGUCAGAUAAAUUAAAGCUAACAUCCAAAAUGUGUGUAUGUGUGUGUUUUUAAAGGACCUUCAUGUUUUUGUUUUUGUUUUUUUCCUCUCCUAGAACCUUGUCUUUUAUUUGAACAAAGGUUUUUUUCUUCGCAGUUGACUCAAUUCUAGUUUCUUCAUUUACUUCUGCUGUCUCUCCUUUCUCUUGCACCCUCUGCUGCACAGGGGACCUAAAAUAGUUUAUAAUAGCGUGGAGUUCCUUAAAGAAAAUGGAGAAGGUGCUAGACGCCUUUUGGGGGAGAAACCUCUGUUUUUCCUUAUGGAACCCCAAGAAUUGAAACAGACAAGUUUGUUUCAGUCCUUAAACCACUUAAUUUUGUAUUGCAUACCUGAUUUUUUAAACUAAAAUAGUUAUUGCAACAGAGACUACCCUUGUUUUUUAAGGAGAUUGUAGUUUAGACACUUAGAAAUGUGUUUGUAUUAGUCAAUUUUCACGCUGCUGAUAAAGACAUGCCCGAGACUGGGCAAUUUACAAAAGAAAGAGGUUUCAUGGACUUACAGUUUUGCAUCGCUGGGGAGCCCUCAUGAUGAUGGUGGAAGGCAAGGAGGAGCAAGUCACAUCUUACAUGGAUGGCAGCAGGCAAAGAGAGAGAGUUUGUGCAGAGAAACUCCCAUCUUUAAAACCAUGAGAUCUCUGGAGACUUAUUCACUAUCAUGAGAACAAGACAGGAAAGACUGACCCUGUGAUUCAGUUACCUCCCACCAGGUUCCUCCAAUGACAUAUGGGAAUUGUGGGAGUUACAAUUCAAGGGCUUUGACUCCUGGAUCUAAAAAGAACACCUAGUCCUGCUAAAUUUUAAACACUGACAGGAAUUAAACUCCAUCUUCAGACCCAGUAGAAGAUGCCAUUCAAAAUAAACUGCAUUCCUGAGACAUAGGGCCAGAAAUUAAAGCUGUUCAACUCCUCAAGGCCCAGGGACUAUCAUGAAGAGGUGGGUGUGUGAGAUUGUAAGGGCUGAUUUUGAGAGAUAAAAUAAGCUGUUUCUCUAUAAAUAAAUCAUUAAUGUCAAAAGCACACUGAUGCAAGACCAGCAUAUGGACCCCUGUGUCAGAUUAACAAGGUUUUCUGGAAGCAUUAACUGACUCCUUAAUUAAUUAAGGCUACAAAGUUUAUAAAAGGCUUAUGAAAAUUAUAUCUUAUUAUGGUCAAGAUUAAAAUUUUAUAAAUUGUUUAUAAAAUUUUGAAAAACAAAUGUAAUUGGCUACAUGUUGUUUUUAUUAGGGUUUAUUCUUUGGAAAAUUAAGUUUUCUCUGAAAGAAGGAAGAUUUUCACCUUUUUUGAAAUCCUCGAGUUAGCACUUUGGUUAAAUGAAUGACUUAUUUUACAAUAACCUGUGAUAUCAAGUGUUUUAAACCUUUGAUAUUUGACAAACUUUCAAAAUCAAAUUAUAAAUUAUGUCUUUUUCUGACCUAAUUAAUCCUUUAAGAUAUUAAGUUCCAUAAAGUCCAAAAAUGACAUAAUUUGUCUUAUUUGUUAUAAAAAUUAUAUAGGAAGUGUUGUCAAAUAUGAAAUGGUGUUUGGGUUUCUUUGGGCUGUGUUUGUAUAAAUAUGUUAUUGGUAUGUGUUCCCAAAUCAUAGGAAACUCCUAUAAUUCUGAUAUGACUUAGUGUACAUUAUCAGUAAUAAUUAUAAUUAUUAUGUUAAAUUAUGUGCCACAGAGGUAACAAAUUUUCUUGUCAAUGGUGCUUUUGACUGUGGCUGCCCUAAAACCUUUUGUCGUUCAUGGACAAUUGUUGUCUUAUUUUGGUCCUUCUUAGAAGGUGAUUUUAUAAAAAGCUAUAAAAGUACAACAGCUGCUCUUGCAUACAAGUUUUUAAUAGCUUUGGAGAUGGUGACAUCAGAAUAAAAGAAAAACUUUCAGGACCUUUGGAGAACUGAAAUGUUCAGGAAUGUCAAGCAGAGCAGGAAUUAACUACAGCAACUGAACUAUUACAAGACUGAAGUAAUCAUUUUGACUUUUCACUUAAAAUGUUGCUAAUCCUUUGUUUUCCUUUUUCAGAACCAGGGAAACUUUUCUUUUGAGUGAUUAACAGCAUUUAACAAUUUAGUGUCUUCCUAUGAACAAAAUUUAUAACAUAUUUAUUUUUCCUCUACCUGAUUUCUCCAGAAUUUGGAAGCUAUUUGUGGCAAUACAUUAUUUACAUAACUACAAUAAGAAUCUCUUUUUAUGUAUGAAAGGACACACUUGGAGAAACUGGUUAUUUUACCAAGGCUUUGACUGGAAUGGUGUGCUUUCCUUUAAGGAAUCAAACUUGACUUACAGAGCCAAUAAAAGCCCCUUGGGAAAACUGGCCUCAUGUUUGUCUACACAGCCCCUGUACAGAGUUCCUGACCUGUGGUAGGUAAAGAAUGUCACUUUCUGACAGGCCCACCAGCCCCAAGUUUUAUCUUGGAACCUCAGGAGAAGAGGAUCUCCCAACUCAUAGAUAUUUGAUGAUACGAAUCCAUGGCUGCACUCAGCUUUAAAAAAGUCUUAUUUGAGACAAAGCUCCAUCAAAGCCAACUUAAAAGCCUUUGUAGGUUGGGCGCGGUGGCUCACGCCUGUAAUCCCAGCACUUUGAGAGGCCGAAGUGGGUGGAUCACCUGAGGUCAGGAGUUGGAGAUGAGCCUGGCCAACGUGGCAAAACCCCAUCUCUACUAAAAAUACAAAAAUUAGCCAGGUUUGGUGGCAUGCACCUGUAAUCCCAGGUACUCAGGAGGCUGAGGCAGGAGAAUCACUUGAACCUGGGUGGCGGAAGUUGCAGUGAACUGAGAUCAUGUCACUGCACUCCAGCCUGGGUGACAGAGGAAAACUCCGUCAAAAAAAAAAAAACCUAUGUAAAAAAUAAUUAUUCUUGCUGCACUGAAUACAAAUAAUUAGGCCAAGUAUAAUAAAGAAAACUAGUCCUACCAUGAUUUGUGUUUAUUAAAAAUGGGAAACUGGAGAAAGAAAAAUUAUGUUGCAAAACCUAUAGUACACCUGUUGUUAGAUUCUAGUCUUGCCUAAUGUUUUAAAGUUUUUAUUAUUUUCUACAGUUUUGACUUAAUUCUAAUUUUUCUUGGCUACAACUCUUCAAAAUAAUGUUUUUGAUUUUUUCUUCUGUAUUUUUCCCCCAUUUUUUCUGAUCUGGAGUCACUGAAAACUAAGCUGUGCUUUCAUAAAGCCCUGUGAACUGAAGCUAGGCAACUUAAACUUCAGAAGAAAACAACAGCAACCUAUUUACAUACAUAAGCCACUUUCAUACCUGCCUACUAAUGUAUGGGCUUCAGAGUAAUGUGGCCUAUAUUGAUUUUUCCCAGAUUGUUCUUUCGUUUGUUGUUGUUUUUCUCCAUUCCUCCCCCUAUUUUCUUUUCAUAGGACAAGAGACUUCACAACAAAGCUCAUUCUAAAAAUAAGCUUUUCUAAUAAUUCUGGACCUAACUGUACAGGAAUAAACCAUCCUAGCCAUGAGAGAGCAGACAAAACCUGAGACCAGAGACCCGUUUUCUUCUAAAAUGCUUUCUCCAAAAGAUUUUAAAAAAGAAAAGGGGGAAAAUGUGAAAGGAACCUAUCUUGGGGCCCCAAAAUCACUAAGCUAAAAGGAAAAGUCAAGCUGGGAAUUGCUUCGGGCAAACCUGCCUCCCAUUUUAUUCAAAGUCAUCCCUCUGCUCACUGAGAUAGAUGCAUCUCUGAUUGCCUCCUUUGGAAAGGCGAAUCAGAAACUCAAAAGAAUGUAACCAUUUGUCUGUUAUCUACCUAAGACCUGGAAGUCCCCUCCCCACUUCCAGUUGUCCCGCCUUUCCAGACCGAACCAAUGUUCAUCUUGCACAUGUUGAUUGAUGUCUCAUGUCUCCCUAAAAUGUAUACAACCAAACUGUGCUCUGACCACCUUGGGCACAUGUCGUCAGGACCUCUGGAGCCUGUAUCAUGGGUGUGUGUCCUCAACCUUGGCAAAAUAAACUUUCUAAAUUAACUGA